rnacentral:rRNA from 1 species
AGAGUUUGAUCAUGGCUCAGAACGAACGUUAGCGGCGCGCCUAACACAUGCAAGUCGCACGAGAAAGGGCUUCGGCCCCGGUAAAGUGGCGCACGGGUGAGUAACACGUAGGUAAUCUUCCCUAGAGUGGUGGAUAACUCUCCGAAAGGAGAGCUAAUACAGCAUGAGACCACAGCAUCUACGGAUGCAGCGGUCAAAGCAGGCCUCUUCAUGAAAGCUUGCGCUCAAGGAUGAGCCUGCGGCCCAUCAGCUAGUUGGUGAGGUAACGGCCCACCAAGGCUAAGACGGGUAGCUGGUCUGAGAGGAUGAACAGCCACACUGGAACUGACACACGGUCCAGACUCCUACGGGAGGCAGCAGUGGGGAACCUUGCGCAAUGGGCGAAAGCCUGACGCAGCGACGCCGCGUGAGCGAUGAAGGCCUUCGGGUUGUAAAGCUCUGUGGGGAGAGAAGAAUAAGGAUACGCUAACACCGUACUCGAUGACGGUAUCUCCUUAGCAAGCACCGGCUAACUCUGUGCCAGCAGCCGCGGUAAGACAGAGGGUGCAAACGUUGUUCGGAAUUACUGGGCGUAAAGCGCGUGUAGGCGGCCAAGUGUGUCGGAUGUGAAAUCCCGCAGCUCAACUGUGGAAGUGCAUUCGAAACUGCUUGGCUGGAGUUUCGGAGAGGAAGGCGGAAUGCUUGGUGUAGAGGUGAAAUUCGUAGAUAUCAAGCAGAACACCUGUGGCGAAGGCGGCCUUCUGGACGAUGACUGACGCUGAGACGCGAAAGCGUGGGGAGCAAACAGGAUUAGAUACCCUGGUAGUCCACGCCGUAAACGAUGAGUGCUAGGUGUCANGGGCUUUGACCCUCCUGGUGCCGCAGCUAACGCAAUAAGCACUCCGCCU